AAGAUAAUUUAUUUUGUGAUCUAAUAAUUAGCUUAUCGAUCUUACUUUUGUUUCUGAUUGUGUAAUAUGUUUAUCAGUUCCAGAUUGUAUAUUGUUAUGUAGACAUAAUCCUUCUCAUUCAAUCUUCAAAUGUAACCAUAUGUUUUCAAAUCUAUUUGGGUGAUUUACGAUUGUGUGGGUUUGGAUUAUGUUCUCUCUUGUCCGUUGGUUCAUAGUUUCGAAGGAAAUGGUUAAAAUAUGAUUUUUGGUAGAAGAAACAGCUUCAAGUUUGAGUAUUUUCUCCUUAUCUCGGCUUUGCUUUUCCUCUCGAAAAUUGAUGGUGAAUGUCUUAUUAACGGACGACAUAAUGGGGAAGAUAAUUUAAUUUUGUGGCUUAAGGGAAGUGUCGUAGUUCAGUGUUACUAUCUGAAAGUACAUGUUCCAUAGGAAUGAUGAAUCUGAUUUUACUAUUUCUUAAGCAAACCGUUGGAAAAUGAGCUUCAGAGUCUCUUAUGUAAAUCUACAGAUGUGAUGGAUACUUAAUGGGGGAAGAUAAUCUAACUUGUGUUUUAUCUAAAAUUCUUUCGUGCCUUUCUGUUUGUGGUUCUGAUUUGGGUGGUUUUGCUGGUCUUACAGUCUAAUUAUCGGGAGCCUCUGUUGUAUGUUUCUUUUCUC
rnacentral:lncRNA from 1 species